UACAGAGGGGGCAAGCGUUGUUCGGAAUUACUGGGCGUAAAGGGCGCGUAGGCGGCCUUCUAAGUCGAACGUGAAAUCCCCGGGCUCAACCCGGGAACUGCGUCCGAUACUGGAAGGCUUGAAUCCGGGAGAGGGAUGCGGAAUUCCAGGUGUAGCGGUGAAAUGCGUAGAUAUCUGGAGGAACACCGGUGGCAAAGGCGGCAUCCUGGACCGGCAUUGACGCUGAGGAGCGAAAGCCAGGGGAGCAAACGGG
rnacentral:rRNA from 1 species